AACGAACGCUGGCGGCAUGCCUAACACAUGCAAGUCGAACGAGACCUUCGGGUCUAUUUGCGCACGGGUGCGUAACGCGUGGGAAUCUACCCUCAGGUUCGGAAUCACUCAGAGAAAUUUGAGCUAAUACCGGAUGAUGACGUAAGUCCAAAGAUUUAUCGCCUGAGGAUGAGCCCGCGUAGGAUUAGGUAGUUGGUGAGGUAAAGGCUCACCAAGCCGACGAUCCUUAGCUGGUCUGAGAGGAUGAUCAGCCACACUGGGACUGAGACACGGCCCAGACUCCUACGGGAGGCAGCAGUGGGGAAUAUUGGACGAUGGGCGAAAGCCUGAUCCAGCAAUGCCGCGUGAGUGAUGAAGGCCUUAGGGUUGUAAAGCUCUUUUACCCGGGAUGAUAAUGACAGUACCGGGAGAAUAAGCUCCGGCUAACUCCGUG
rnacentral:rRNA from 1 species